AUUGAACGCUGGCGGCAGGCCUAACACAUGCAAGUCGAACGGUAACAGGAAACAGCUUGCUGUUUCGCUGACGAGUGGCGGACGGGUGAGUAAUGUCUGGGAAACUGCCUGAUGGAGGGGGAUAACUACUGGAAACGGUAGCUAAUACCGCAUAACGUCGCAAGACCAAAGAGGGGGACCUUCGGGCCUCUUGCCAUCGGAUGUGCCCAGAUGGGAUUAGCUAGUAGGUGGGGUAACGGCUCACCUAGGCGACGAUCCCUAGCUGGUCUGAGAGGAUGACCAGCCACACGGGAACUGAGACACGGUCCAGACUCCUACGGGAGGCAGCAGUGGGGAAUAUUGCACAAUGGGCGCAAGCCUGAUGCAGCCAUGCCGCGUGUAUGAAGAAGGCCUUCGGGUUGUAAAGUACUUUCAGCGGGGAGGAAGGGAGUAAAGUUAAUACCUUUGCUCAUUGACGUUACCCGCAGAAGAAGCACCGGCUAACUCCGUG
rnacentral:rRNA from 1 species